CCCAGACAGCCAGGAUGUUGGCUUAGAAGCAGCCAUCAUUUAAAGAAAGCGUAAUAGCUCACUGGUCGAGUCGGCCUGCGCGGAAGAUGUAACGGGGCUAAACCAUGCACCGAAGCUGCGGCAGCGACGCUUAUGCGUUGUUGGGUAGGGGAGCGUUCUGUAAGCCUGUGAAGGUGGCCUGUGAGGGUUGCUGGAGGUAUCAGAAGUGCGAAUGCUGACAUAAGUAACGAUAAAGCGGGUGAAAAGCCCGCUCGCCGGAAGACCAAGGGUUCCUGUCCAACGUUAAUCGGGGCAGGGUGAGUCGACCCCUAAGGCGAGGCCGAAAGGCGUAGUCGAUGGGAAACGGGUUAAUAUUCCCGUACUUGGUGUUACUGCGAAGGGGGGACGGAGAAGGCUAUGUUGGCCGGGCGACGGUUGUCCCGGUUUAAGCGUGUAGGCUGGUUUUCCAGGCAAAUCCGGAAAAUCAAGGCUGAGGCGUGACGACGAGGCACUACGGUGCUGAAGCAACAAAUGCCCUGCUUCCAGGAAAAGCCUCUAAGCAUCAGGUAACAUCAAAUCGUACCCCAAACCGACACAGGUGGUCAGGUAGAGAAUACCAAGGCGCUUGAGAGAACUCGGGUGAAGGAACUAGGCAAAAUGGUGCCGUAACUUCGGGAGAAGGCACGCUGACACGUAGGUGAAGUGAUUUACUCAUGGAGCUGAAGUCAGUCGAAG
rnacentral:rRNA from 1 species